CUUUUCCAUUUAGCGCCAUGUACCUGCGUUGACAGGUUGACGAGGAGAAGGGUGAUCGAAAAUUCGGCGGAUGCCCUUCCGUGGACUUCCCUGCGAGAUAUACCGGCAAAUAUGCGGGUGACUGCAAAACAAAUACGGUAUAAGGAAGAUGA
rnacentral:ncRNA from 2 species